GGAAGAAGAAGAAGAGAGAGAAGAAGGAGAACAAGAUGAUGGUGGAUUAAAAAACUCUUCUAACUCUCUUGUUUUUUGUUCUCGAGUCUCUCUGCUUUCUUCUUUUUCUUCUAAUGAUUGUGUUCUUC
rnacentral:ribozyme from 13 species